rnacentral:rRNA from 1 species
UACGUAGGGUGCAAGCGUUAAUCGGAAUUACUGGGCGUAAAGCGUGCGCAGGCGGUGAUGUAAGACAGGUGUGAAAUCCCCGGGCUUAACCUGGGAACUGCAUUUGUGACUGCAUCGCUGGAGUCCGGGAGAGGAGAGUGGAAUUCCUGGUGUAGCGGUGAAAUGCGCAGAUAUCAGGAAGAACACCCGUGGCGAAAGCGGCUCUCUGGAACGGUACUGGACGCUGAGACGCGAAAGCGUGGGGAGCGAACAGG